UUUUUAGUGUAAGUAUGUCCCACGCAGUAUUUGGGACAUGCUUAUUCUAAAA
rnacentral:pre_miRNA from 1 species